rnacentral:rRNA from 1 species
GACGAACGCUGGCGGCGUGCUUAACACAUGCAAGUCGAACGGGCCUGUCUUCUUUUUUGGGGGUGGGUUGAGUGGCGAACGGGUGAGUAUCCCGUGAGUAACCUGCCCUUCGGUCCUGGAUAACCGCUUGAAAGGGCGGCUAAUACGGGGUGGUCCGGUUGGUCCGCAUGGGCUGGUCGGGAUAGAUUCACUGUUUUUGGUGUUUCGGCGGGGGAUGGGCUCGCGGCCUAUCAGCUUGUUGGUGGGGUGAUGGCCUACCAAGGCGGUGACGGGUAGCCGGCCGGAGAGGGGGGGCGGCCACACUGGGACUGAGAUACGGCCCAGACUCCUGCGGGAGGCAGCAGUGGGGGGGAUUGCACAAUGGGCGGAAGCCUGAUGCAGCGACGUCGCGUGAGGGAUGGAGGCCUUCGGGUUGUGAACCUCUGUUUCCGGUGGUGAAGGCCCUGUCCGUGUGGUGGGGUUGACGGUAGCCGGGGAUGAAGCGCCGGCUAACUACGUG